UCAGUCCUGGGGUGUACGACAACUCCGUUAUUUUGAACCUACAACGAUAAUAAGGGCUUCCGAAUUUGUCCGUGGAAGACACGCCCUCUCGAGGGGACUUCUGAAGCGUACAUGAGGUCGCCCACCUGGCUUUAAUUUUGCUGGGCGUCAAAGUACGGGGAACGGCACUUUGGGAUUUUU
rnacentral:other from 1 species